AGUGAACGCUGGCGGUAGGCCUAACACAUGCCAGUCGAACGGCAGCACAGUAAGAGCUUGCUCUUACGGGUGGCGAGUGGCGGACGGGUGAGGAAUACAUCGGAAUCUACUUUUUCGUGGGGGAUAACGUAGGGAAACUUACGUUAAUACCGCAUACGACCUACGGGUGAAAGCAGGGGAUCUUCGGACCUUGCGCGAUUGAAUGAGCCGAUGCCGGAUUAGCUAGUUGGCGGGGUAAAGGCCCACCAAGGCGACGAUCCGUAGCUGGUCUGAGAGGAUGAUCAGCCACACUGGAACUGAGACACGGUCCAGACUCCUACGGGAGGCAGCAGUGGGGAAUAUUGGACAAUGGGCGCAAGCCUGAUCCAGCCAUACCGCGUGGGUGAAGAAGGCCCUCGGGUUGUAAAGCCCUUUUGUUGGGAAAGAAAAGCAGCAGGUUAAUACCCCGCUGUUCUGACGGUACCCAAAGAAUAAGCACCGGCUAACUUCGUG
rnacentral:rRNA from 1 species